CAAGCAAAUCGAUUGAUCGCCCAGAUUCAUUCGCAAGAAUGAUGCGGGAGGAAAGUCCGAACACUUGCGUUGAUGGCCUCUAUAGAGCUAUUAACAGUUGUAGCGGGUAACGCCCGUCGAGGGUAACCUUAGAGAUGCGAACAGUGACGUCCGAGCAGAAAUGCAGAGAUAUCCUUCGGGAUAAAUCGAUACGGAAACGUAUCGGGUGAAACGGCAAAAUUCUUACUUAAGUGCAAUGCCAAAUUAGGUAGGCAGCACCGAGGACUGUGGCAACACAGUUCCCAGAUAGAUGAUCAGUUAGAAACAGAAUUCGGCUUACGAGUUUGCUUGGAGC
rnacentral:RNase_P_RNA from 1 species